rnacentral:rRNA from 1 species
GACGAACGCUGGCGGCGUGCUUAACACAUGCAAGUCGAACGGUGAAGCGCCUUCCUUUUUGGUGGGUGUGGAUGAGCGGCGAACGGGUGAGUAACACGUGAGUAACCUGCCCCCUUCUUCUGGAUAACCGCAUGACAGUGUGGCUAAUACGGGAUAUUCUGGGUCCGUCGCAUGAUGGGUCUGGGAAAGAUAUUGUUUCGGUGGGGGAUGGGCUCGCGGCCUAUCAGCUUGUUGGUGGGGUGAUGGCCUACCAAGGCGGGGGCGGGUAGCCGGCCUGAGAGGGUGGACGGUCACAAAGGGAGUGAGAGACCGGCCAGACACGGAAGGGAGGAGGCGGGAGGGAAUAUCGAAGAGUGGGAGCAAGACUGAGGCAGCGAGGGUGCGUGAGGAAUGGAGGCCGUCGGUUAGUGAAUCUCUUUCGCGAGUAAAGCAGGUCUGUUUAGUUUGUGGGUGGUUUGCGGGUAGCUGGAUAAGAGGCGCGGGCUAAUUACGG